rnacentral:tRNA from 1 species
UCCCUGGUGGUCCAGUGGUUAAGACUUUGUACUUCCAAUAAAGGGGGAGCAGGUUCGAUCCCUGGUCAGGGAA